rnacentral:rRNA from 1 species
AGGACGACGCUGGCGGCGUGCGUUAACACGAUGCAAGUCGAACGGAAAGGCCCUGGCUUUUGUGGGGUGCGUCGAGUGGCGAACGGGUGAGUAACACGUGAGUAACCUGCCCUUGACUUUGGGAUAACUUCAGGAAACUGGGGCGUAAUACCGGAUAGGAGCUCCUGCUGCAUGGUGGGGGUUGGAAAGGUUUCGGCGGUUGGGGAUGGACUCGCGGCUUAUCAGCUUGUUGUGGGGUAGUGGCUUACCAAGGCUUUGACGGGUAGCCGGCCUGAGAGGGUGACCGGCCACAUUGGGACUGAGAUACGGCCCAGACUCCUACGGGAGGCAGCAGUGGGGAAUAUUGCACAAUGGACGGAAGCCUGAUGCAGCAACGCCGCGUGCGGGAUGACGGCCUUCGGGUUGUAAACCGCUUUCGCCUGUGACGAAGCGUGAGUGACGGUAAUGGGUAAAGAAGCACCGGCUAACUACGUG